rnacentral:rRNA from 1 species
AGCGGCAGCUAGCUCUCUGCAAACUUUUACAUGUUCGCCCACUGAGGCUAAGCAGGGCUGUUCCUGAACUGUACCUGGAUGGGAGACCACAUGGGAAAGCUAGGUUGCUGCCAGAA